AAACCAGCCAGACAAACUGUUAGAGCAGGUGUUUUUUCUUUAAAGACUGGAAAGCCUUCAAGCAGAUGAGCGCUUCUCAAACUUAUGCGGUCCAAAACAAAUAGAGGUUGUGAUCUUCAACAUUGAGCUGAGCUGAACAGAGACUGGACAGGGUGACCAGGAUGCCUCAAGCUUUGUCUUUUAGCGGAGCUUGAUCUACCGGGAGGGAGCAGGAGAACGUUGAGGUUGAUUGUGGAAUUCCGAAUUCCACACUGACCUGUGAGUGUGUGGACAAGGCCGACAGACAGCUUCAGUUUCGGGGAUGCUUUGCAGAAAGGUAAAGAUUGGAGGAGAAAUGACUCGAGGGGACCACAGAAUAGGCUGGUUCACCAAGGCGUUGAAUGACAGAUGCCUGAUGGGAGGAGAGAUGACAAUCUGGGAAACGACCACCACCAGGGAAAUGCAUGCUUGGAACCAGAAUGUGAACACGUGAGAGUAACGUCCAGCCCCCCCAGGGCCGACACGGCGGCCCCACGGCGGUUCCUGAUACGGGGUCCGGUCCCUGCACUCCCCCCGUCCCCUCUGGCCGCACGCCGCGCGGUUUGUCGCAGUUUGGGAGCUGCAGCGCCCAGUCCGUCUGAUAAAUCCACGUCUGCGUUCACCGUUAUAAAUCCUCUGUCUUGUGGUAGCCUGUGUCGUUCCUCUUGGUGAAGACGCAGUGUGGAUGCCCGUACCGCCACUGCAGACACGAAGAAGAGACACACGGUCCAUCGGAGAGAGGAGCGCAUCCCGCCGUCCUUCGCCGUCGCCAUGUUUGUGUUCAUGUUGCUGAUGAGGUCACCGACAAGCGCGCCUGCGAUUGGCCGCUGGGGAUGAAGAGCAGCACGACGCCCACCAUAAUAAAAACAUGAAAUACAGCUUCCCAAUCUACUGGCAUCACGAAUUAAAAACACUAGGCUAUAUCAUUUAACAAAUUAAA